rnacentral:rRNA from 1 species
AUUGAACGCUGGCGGAGUGCUUUGCACAUGCAAGUCGAACGGCUGCACGGACUUCGGUCUGGUGGCGAGUUGCGAAAGGGUGGGUAAUACAUCGGAACGCACCCAGUCGUGGUGGAGAACGUAGCGAAAGUUAGGCUAAAUCCGCAUACGAUCCAUGGUUGAAGUCGGAGGAUCGCAGGACUACGGGCGAGUGCAGCGGCCGAUGGCAGAUUAGGUAGUUGGUAGGGUAACGGCCUACCAAGGCGACGAUCUGUAGCUGGUGGGAGAGGAUGAUCAGCCACACUGGGACUGAGACACGGCCCAGACUCCGACGGGAGGAAGCAGUGGGGAAUAUUGGACAAUGGGCGAAAGCCUGAUCCAGCCAUGCCGCGUGUGUGAAGAAGGUCUUCGGAUUGUAAAGCACUUUAAGUUGUGAGGAAGGGCAGUAAGCUAAUAACGUGCUGUUUUGACGUUACCGACAGAAUAAGCACCGGCUAACUCUGUGCCAGCAGCCGCAGUAA